CUGAGGACACCUUGGUCAGUUACCCACUUCAAUUUCUUACAGCCUGUCAAUGCUCAAAGAACCUGAGGCAGCAGCCAUGCUCCAUCAGUCUCGCAGAUUCCAAGCGGUUGUUAGGCCCACGGUCUUUCCCCUGGACUUUCUCCCAUUCUCAGGCAGCACCGUUCCAACCAUUUCUGCAGUCCCUAGAUAUUCAUGAUGGGAAGAGGGGAGAGGGCAAGGUGAACAAUGCAAAGCAGCUGAGAAAAUGUAAACCAGCCAAGUCAGCAGAGCCUUUGCCCCCAAAUGAAGGCAUUUAUGGUAUUGAAGAAUAUUUAUUUGAGACAUUUCAACCUGGAUUUCCUGUGAAUGAAUUGGAAGCAAGUGAGAAGAUAAGAUCUGGAUGGAACUGGACUCUCUCCAUUCACACAGUUCGUUAG
rnacentral:lncRNA from 1 species